rnacentral:pre_miRNA from 1 species
GAUCUACUCCCUCCGUCCGGAAAUACUUGUCAUCAAAAUGAAUAAAAGAGGAUGUAUCUAGAUGUAUUUUAGUUCUAGAUACAUCCUUUUUUGUCCAUUUUGAUGACAAGUAUUUUCGGACGGAGGGAGUAUACA